GACGAACGCUGGCGGCGUGCUUAACACAUGCAAGUCGAACGGUGAAACAGGAGCUUGCUCCUGUGGAUCAGUGGCGAACGGGUGAGUAACACGUGAGCAAUCUGCCCCGAACUCUGGGAUAAGCGUUGGAAACGACGUCUAAUACCGGAUACGACGCGCGAAGGCAUCUUCUGCGCGUGGAAAGAACUUCGGUUCGGGAUGAGCUCGCGGCCUAUCAGCUAGUUGGUGAGGUAACGGCCCACCAAGGCGACGACGGGUAGCCGGCCUGAGAGGGUGACCGGCCACACUGGGACUGAGACACGGCCCAGACUCCUACGGGAGGCAGCAGUGGGGAAUAUUGCACAAUGGGCGAAAGCCUGAUGCAGCAACGCCGCGUGAGGGAUGACGGCCUUCGGGUUGUAAACCUCUUUUAGUAGGGAAGAAGCGAAAGUGACGGUACCUGCAGAAAAAGCACCGGCUAACUACGUGCCAGCCGCCGCCGUAACAC
rnacentral:rRNA from 1 species